CACGUAGGGUCCGAGCGUUGUCCGGAAUUACUGGGCGUAAAGCGUGCGCAGGCGGUUUUGUAAGCCAGAUGUGAAAUCCCCGGGCUUAACCUGGGAAUGGCAUUUGGGACUGCAAGGCUGGAGUGUGGCAGAGGAGACUGGAAUUCCUGGUGUAGCAGUGAAAUGCGUAGAUAUCAGGAGGAAUACCGAUGGCGAAGGCAGGUCUCUGGGCUGACACUGACGCUCAUGCACGAAAGCGUGGGGAGCAAACAGG
rnacentral:rRNA from 1 species